rnacentral:rRNA from 1 species
AUUGAACGCUGGCGGCAGGCCUAACACAUGCAAGUCGAGCGGAUGAAGGGAGAUUGCUCCUGGAUUCAGCGGCGGACGGGUGAGUAAUGCCUAGGAAUCUGCCUGGUAGUGGGGGAUAACGUCCGGAAACGGGCGCUAAUACCGCAUACGUCCUGAGGGAGAAAGGGGGGGAUCUUCGGACCUCACGCUAUCAGAUGAGCCUAGGUCGGAUUAGCUAGUUGGUGGGGUAAAGGCCUACCAAGGCGACGAUCCGUAACUGGUCUGAGAGGAUGAUCAGUCACACUGGAACUGAGACACGGUCCAGACUCCUACGAGAGGCAGCAGUGGGGAAUAUUGGACAAUGGGCGAAAGCCUGAUCCAGCCAUGCCGCGUGUGUGAAGAAGGUCUUCGGAUUGUAAAGCACUUUAAGUUGGGAGGAAGGGCAGUAAGUUAAUACCUGGCUGUUUUGACGUUACCAACAGAAUAAGCACCGGCUAACUUCGUG